GGUGGAGGGAAGCUCAUGGCUGGGGCCGUGAGCUGAGUGGGUUUAGUCACUCUACCCCAUGGCUCAUGGGAAGGUGUGAGACUAGGGCCAAAAUCGGCCCCAGCAGGGUGCUCCUUGAGCUUCAGGGAGGUGAGUUCCCAGAGGGGGGAAGAAAAAAGAUCGGAGUUUCCUAAACAGGGUUCCUCUCAAGGAACCCAACUCACUGAGUGUACAGGCAUC
rnacentral:lncRNA from 1 species